GUCAUAACAAGCAUAAAGAUGUCAUAAAGUUUAGAGGCCAAACAAGUGAACAUUGGAGGAGGAAUCCAUUACUGGUUUAAGUCUCAGUUUCCAAAGGCCCAAGAACAAGGAGCUCCAAUGUUCGGGAUGCAAUGGCAGUACCCUCUGACUAGCACACUUUCUGUGGAUGUGGGAGAUUAUGUCUUAAUUCACAGAAAAAAGAAGCCUUUAAGACAGGAUAUGAAGGUACAGGUUACAGGCUAUUACCAAAAAUAUCAGAAAGCAAAGAUGCUCACCUCAUGACCAGGAAGCAAAAGACAGGAAGAGGAAGGACCCAAGAGCCCAAUAUUUCCUGCAAGCCACACCCACAAUGGCCUAAACACCUCACACUAGACCCCACCUCCUUAGGAUUCAGCCCCCCUCCCAAUAGCACCACCUGGGG
ensembl:lncRNA